rnacentral:rRNA from 1 species
CCUACGGGUGGCAGCAGUGAGGAAUAUUGGUCAAUGGACGAGAGUCUGAACCAGCCAAGUAGCGUGAAGGAUGACUGCCCUAUGGGGUGUAAACUUAUUUUAUAUGGGAAUAAAAUGUUCCACGUGUGGGAUUUUGUAUGUACCAUAUGAAUAAGGAUCGGCUAACUCCGUGCCAGCAGCCGCGGUAAUACGGAGGAUCCGAGCGUUAUGCGGAUUUAUUGGGUUUAAAGGGAGCGUAGGUGGAUUGUUAAGUAGGUUGUGAAAGUGUGCGGCUCAACCGUAAAAUUGCAGUUGAAACUGGCAGUCUGGAGUACAGUAGAGGUGGGCGGAAUUCGUGGUGUAGCGGUGAAAUGCUUAGAUAUCACGAAGAACUCCGAUUGCGAAGGCAGCUCACUGGACUGCAACUGACACUGAGGCUCGAAAGUGUGGGUAUCAAACAGGAUUAGAUACCCGAGUAGUC